CUCCCAGGCGGGUGCUUAAUGCGUUAGUGCAGCACUAAGGGGCGGAAACCCCCUAACACUUAGCACUCAUCGUUUACGGCGUGGACUACCAGGGUAUCUAAUCCUGUUCGCUCCCCACGCUUUCGCUCCUCAGCGUCAGUUACAGACCAGAGAGUCGCCUUCGCCACUGGUGUUCCUCCACAUCUCUACGCAUUUCACCGCUACACGUGGAAUUCCACUCUCCUCUUCUGCACUCAAGUUCCCCAGUUUCCAAUGACCCUCCCCGGUUGAGCCGGGGGCUUUCACAUCAGACUUAAGAAACCGCCUGCGAGCCCUUUACGCCCAAUAAUUCCGGACAACGCUUGCCACCUACGUAUUACCGCGGCUGCUGGCACGUAGUUAGCCGUGGCUUUCUGGUUAGGUACCGUCAAGGUACGCCCUAUUCGAACGGUACUUGUUCUUCCCUAACAACAGAGCUUUACGAUCCGAAAACCUUCAUCACUCACGCGGCGUUGCUCCGUCAGACUUUCGUCCAUUGCGGAAGAUUCCCUACUGCUGCCUCCCGUAGAGGUCUGGGCCGUGUCUCAGUCCCAGUGUGGCCGAUCACCCUCUCAGGUCGGCUACGCAUCGUUGCCUUGGUGAGCCGUUACCUCACCAACUAGCUAAUGCGCCGCGGGUCCAUCUGU
rnacentral:rRNA from 1 species